AUCCUUGAACCAGUUGUGAGGUGGCAGGAGGGGAAAACUGGUCUUCCUUGACUUACGUGCCCAUUCAUUUCAUUCUCAUGUUCCUUCCACCGGUGAUCGAGGUGUGUGCUCUAUCCUAAUUUGGCCCUUGCUUGAACUUAGUGAGCUACUCCCAGAUAGAACUGAGUCUAGGCUCAGUCCAGCUCAUCAACCUGGUCCAUCUGUGGUUGGUGAUGUGACCGAUGGAGAUAUUGGGAUCACCUCACC
rnacentral:lncRNA from 1 species